rnacentral:lncRNA from 1 species
CUCAAAUUUUGUAAUCUAAAUAAAAGAAGAUUUUAUAUUUAAAUUCAGAUAUUUAAAUAGAGGAUGUUAAGUAGUUGAGCAUAUGGAUAACAUGUGUGAAUUUGAAGAUAUUCUCCUGGAAAUGGAUCGUAUUUUAUGACCUGAAGGGACCGUCAUUUUCAGAGACGAAAUCGACGCAUUGAACAUGGUCAGUAAAAUUGCCAAAGGCAUGCAAUCGGUGACAAAAAUGAUGGAUCAUGAGGAUGGCCAUUUAGUACCCGAAAAAUUACUUAUUGGAGUCAAAUAGUAGUGGGUUGCUAACAGCACAUCCAAAGCCAAAUGAAAGUAUCAGUAUUUCAUCCAAUAUAAAAGUGAACUCACAAUACAAUCAGUAUUUGUUAGAAGAUACGUAUUUAGUCAUUAGAGUCAAAUGAACUCCGUGUGUAUGGGCUUAUACUGUAAAUGAGAUUCUUCCAAGAUAGUUCAAGUGGCCAAUCCAUGACUAUCUUUUUUUAUUGGUCAUUUAAAUUUGUACUGUUCAAUCAAUC